UCAGAUCCUCGCCGCCACCCACCUCCACCGCCGCCCUCACUCUCCCCUCACCCCCUCGUCCUCGACCAACAUCGCCGCCUGCCCUUCCUACACCCCGGAGGCGGCCUACACCCUUGACCACGAGACGAGCGAUGUCCUCAUCCUUCUCGGCCGGUGGCGAGGAGAGACGGCCAAGGAGCUCGGCGACCUCGCGCUCUUCCUCGCCCUGCUCUACCGUCCGGCCUCCGGCUGCUCGUGGUCGACCUGCACAGCCUCCUCUCUCUCCAGUCCGUCGUCUGUUGCUCCCACACCAUGGAGCUCACCACCACCGGUGGUGAUCUGCUUCUUCCUGACCAUGGAGGUGUGCAUCUUCCAUUCAAGGUGCCCAUCUUCCCCUAUCCUCUUCAUUCGAUUUCAUUUGAUCCAGCCACCAUCUUCAGUUCCACCCUGAUGCUGAUGCGUGCUUGAUUCCCUUCCCCACGCAGCUGCAGCUCACCGACGAAGGAGUCUUCCUCCUGAGCGCCCACACGGAGGAGUUGCAACAACCCUGGAUCUGUCCGUUGGCCCUGUUGAUUUUUGUUGAAGGUCGUCGGGCUUUUCAGGUACAUCAAUGUCCAACUUUGGUUGCUGUUUGUACUGUUUGUUCACAUUUAAGUAUAAGUUAAGCAACCAUGUCAAGGGUAACCUAAGAACACUUGCUUAUAAGAAUGAACUUGACUUACUAUAUAUACCCAAGUGAAGAUGUACUGUUACUAAUUUACUAUGCCAAUGAAUUUUAUAUAUGUGAGAUUAGAAUUUAAGUGCCAUCAUUCAUCUAAUGGUAUCUUGUUCUAUGUGAUAAUUGUUCACUAUUGAGGGAAAUACAUAUACUCUAGUUGUCAUGCAGUGCAUGUUGUUCAUUAUUUUGAGGAGAACACCACCUGGAGACCGGUGUUCCGAGGAGACUGCGAUGCUUAAUUUGCGUUUGUUUGAUUGUAGUGAGGCGCUGGAAGAGCACUCCCCAUGCUUGUCUUGAGGAGAACACCACCUAGGACUUGGUGGCUGACAUUUGAGAAGGUCAGGCAACACCUCGACAUUCCAGAGUGGCAAGCAACUGCAAAUACAUCUUCUUUUGUCAACUGCAAUAUAUACCCAGCUAUAAAGAAACCACUUGAAGAAAAUAUUUAAGAGAGGCAGGCAGGUCGUGUAGACUUUCUUGCAUUUGUGCAUAGCUACUUUUUUUGAAACCAUUUGUGCAUAGCUAUGAUCAUGAAUGUUGCGAUGCAAGUUAUUAAAAGAAUGAUAAUACCUCUUAAUGCCUCGUCUUUUCAAAAACUAGCUAGCUAGUCAAGCAUUUCUUUUUUAAGUUUGAUACUAGUGUUAUUGUUGGAGAUAUAUAGUGGAAAACAACAUCCAUAGUGGUAUAGAUUGUUCCAGUUCAAGAUAUGCUUAUUAUUGAAUUAGCUGGUCCUAAAGAAUGCUCCGCCUAAGCUUUCCUUAGUGCCUGGUUCCAUAUCCUAAAAAUUGCAAUGCAGGUGAAAAGAUUAAAUACCUCGUCAUGCUUACAAUGGUUUACAUUGAAUUAUUAUUUUUGUAAUCUAUCUUUCUAUACUGGUUCCAAGUGCUUGAGUAGCACCUCUGAGACAAUCUCACUUGUAGUUAAUUAGUGGCUUUGUCGUUUGUGUUUGUGCAUUCUUUUUUCCUAGGCAUCAUUCAUGGCCGUCUAGUAGUCGACAUACUUCUGGUUCCAUUUAGUAUAUGCAGGUAGCAACAGCUUAAGUGUAAUGGAGUUGUUGUUACUUUGUGCCUGCUUCGUUAGAGUUUGCAUCAUCUCCUUGUUUUUGUAGCACAAAUGCCUGCACUAUUCUUGUUCCGAACCUUUGAUCCUGAUACUGAUUGUAUUUGUCUUGAUCGAAUUAUAGGCAACAUGGUGACUCUAGUGCGGACAAGAUGCUCACUGAGGUGCCCAAGUACAAGCAGACCACGCCCUAGGCGAUCUGUUCUUCUUUCUUGCUUUUUACCCAUGAGAAUUAAUAUCUCGAGAUGGUGGGUUAAGUGUAUGGAUGGCCCCUGGUGAAGUUUUUUGCUGUGAUGCUCUGUUUUGGGGUUAGUCAGUAGUACUCUGUGAUGUUCCGGUUCUCCUAGCAUGGGGCAUAUAUUAUUGUGCUAUGAAUUGUUUGCAUGCCCUUUUGGAUGCCGGUUUCGGCUGCUGCAUCUGUGCUGAUAGUUUUUGUGCAGUGGGAUGUUCAGUUUGGUGCAUAAGCCUGGCAUCCUCAAAUUUUCAUUGGUGUUCUCUCGUGUUCUGUUUUAGUUUGUUGAAUGUAAUUUAACAUUAUAAAUUGUUGAAAGCUUUGUUCAAAUUUGACACUCCUUGAUAUCUCUAGCUUGAGAUAUCAUUGAAAAGCUUCCUUUUGCUUGAUAUAACCAUUGGUGUAUGUUCUUCUAAUACUCCAAUUGUUGAUCAAUAUCUUACUCCUGUAGUUGUCCUACCGUAGUACUCCUAUAGGAGUAGAUGUGUACUCCUGUUGUUUGUCCUACCUGUAGUGCAGAGAUGGAGUAGUUUGUCCUGUGUGUGUACUCCUGUAGUUUUUUGCAAUUAAAUUUUCACAAAUGGCCAAAGCUUUCCACUAUUCAUAUUUCCUAAAAAAGAAACAUAAGCUCUUGAAUUACUCAUAUUGUUCCAAUGUUCAUAUUUCAGUAAACCAUAUUAUUCCACUGUUUGUAUCAUGGAUCACACAUACUCCUAUUCAUGCUUUUUGAAAAUUGUUUUGAGUACCAUGGAGUACUAUCUGAUCAUGAGCUAACUUUUCAUGUCAACCAUUUUUUCACUGCAGCAAGUAUACUGAAACUAAAAUUGAGCUGAAAGUUUAAGUACCUCCAAAAUUGAGCUGCUGCUGGAAUCACCAAAUUAUGCAUGCAACCAUUUGUUCACUUCGGCUAGUGUACUGCUGCCGUUUUUGCUUUCAAGUACUGCUACUACUGUUAUUGCUUUCAGUACUAUUGCUGCUGUUGCUUCUCAGUAUGGCUACUGCUAUUGCUUCUCAAUAAUGCUGCUGCUGUUGCUUCUCACUACUGCGGAUGUUUCCCUGCUGUUGUUCAAAUCAAAAUUGUUGUUGUUGUUGCUUCUUAGUACUGCUGUUCUUUUCCUAUUGUUGUUCUAGUCAAAACUGCUGCUGCUUCCCUCCUGCUAUUUCAAAUUGCUUCUACUGUUGUUUAAGUCAAAACUUAGAGCCCCUGUAGCUUUGCUCAACCCCUAAAUUGUUGUUGUUAUUUUAAAUUGCUCAAUUAUUUGAAUUGCCACUGCUACUAUCUCAUUUUAACUAGCUGGAGGACAAAAAGCAUUGUACUAGCUAAAUUUGUGUCAUCAUUCUAAUCUAAAUAACUGUCAUUUUUUGAAUGGUCUCUUCUUGGUUUAUUGGUUCCAGUUUUUCUAAUUCUUCUCUGCUGAUUUUUUAACGCUAAUUCUUCUCUAUUGAUACAUGUAACAGGGCGACCGUGGAAGGCAUAUCACCAUUCUGUUAGCCCAGUCCUAACAGGAGCAGGUGCCUAGUUUACGAUCGCUAUCGAAAGAGCUCCAUGUUGAAGAAACAUAGCUCGCAAACGUAUCUUGUUAUUACACAUGUGGAGCUUGUAACCGUGAUUGCCAUCCUUUUAGAGCUUGUAGCUAGUUAUUACACUUGUAGAGAUUCUGGUAGAGCUUGUAUAUGUUGGAGCUUAAUUACGUGUAGAGCUUGUAGAUCUUGUAAAGUAUUGCAUAUGUUAUUUGUACAACAGGAGCUCUGUACUGAAUCUGGAGUAUUACGUGUGUUUUUUGUUUGUGCCAAUUUAAAUACUGGUUAUUUAUUUACUGUUAAAU
rnacentral:lncRNA from 1 species